UACGGAGGGUGCGAGCGUUGUUCGGAAUCACUGGGCGUAAAGCGCGUGUAGGCGGCCCUUUAAGUCCGAUGUGAAAGCCCGGGGCUCACCCCCGGAAGUGCAUUGGAUACUGAAGGGCUGGAGUACCGGAGAGGAGGGUGGAAUUCCUGGUGUAGCGGUGAAAUGCGUAGAUAUCAGGAGGAACACCGAUGGCGAAGGCAGCUCGCUGGGACGGUAUUGACGCUGAGACGCGAAAGCGUGGGGAGCGAACAGG
rnacentral:rRNA from 1 species